rnacentral:lncRNA from 1 species
CCUUUGGACCUAAAACAUCAUCAUCGAGAACCUUCUAGCUCCAAAUAACAUUACAAAAUAACAAAAAUGAAAUGCACUUGAUAAUUCCUUUCGCUGCGGAACUCUUUAUUUUUAAGAAUGGCUAACAUUAUUUUUUGGGACGGAAUGUUCCUAUGAAGUGGGCCAUCUGAGUUAGUAUUGAGCCCAACAGUCCGAACAAGGUUCUUUUGUCAUUGGCCCAACUUAACCUAAACCAGGUAUCAGAUCAACGUAAAAUUUGCAUAACCUGUUACAGUAAAAAUUGUUCAGAUAUUUGUUUCUGAUAGCGUCCCUGAUCAUACAUGCCUUAAACAUAUAUUGUCUUCGUAUAAGAAUAAUAUUGGUAUAGAAAAUAAGACCAAACCGAUGAUCCCAUUGCUUUAAUACAACAAAUAUUUGAGGAACAGUGCAACUAAAUGUAAUUAACAACUAACAAAAGUGACAAGUGACAUAGAAGUGAGUUAGAGUUUCACAACUUCAUGUUGAGAACCUUACCUAAGGGCUGGUAGGAUCCAGGUGUUCCAUAUGAUGAGGAAGGUGUAAAUGGUUUAGGGGUAGAUUCCUCCCUAAGUGCAGUAAGAGCAAGCCUCCUUCUCUGUCUAUGUUCCUUAUGUCUCCUUAUUCUGUCCUCUAGUGCAGCUUUAGCAUUCUCAGCAAACUCAGCUCUGCUUUGAGCCUGUUCUGCACGAGCCCUCAACUCCGAAAUUUUCAUUGAUGCAAUAUCCAACUCUUUUUUCAUCAAUGCAAACUCUGAAAAUCUUCCAACUUCCCCUACCACUCCUUCAACUCCAGUUCUCUUCUCAACUAAGGAUUUUCCUGUCACAUGCUCAAUGUUCUUCUCACUAUAUCUCUCUUCAGCUUCUGUCUCUGAGUAAACAUUUUCAUGAGUAAUCUUUUCAUUCUUGUAAAGCAGCCUAUGUUCCUCCAGCUUAGACUUCAGCAAUGCAAUUUCCACCUGUGUUUCAAUGCCGCUCCCCUUGUUCAUGUUUACUUCUGCUUUAGCCUCAUGUAACUCACAUGUGAGUGAUUCAUUAGUAAUAUUCAAGGCAUUUAUUUCUUCCUUUGCAACCGUAACUUCUUGCUUUAACUGACUCAUUGCCAUUUCUAGUGUGUGAAUGUACACAGAUUGAUCCCUUAUUUUUCUGUCCUUUAGUUCCAUGUCAAUUAAUUGGUCUGUGUGGUUUAUGGUUUUGGGAGCAGAAUCCUCAGAUAAAACGAGUUUUUCAUUAGCUUGCAUAGGUUCCAGGGGAAGAGAAUUAACCACUGUAGACAUACCCAUUGGUUGAUUUUGUAAUUCCUGUAACAUUUUCGCAUGCUUUCUCAUAUCUUCUAGCUGUUGUUGUACAUGAGCAGUAGCUUUUGUAGUGAAAUCAAUUUGCUCAUCCUUCUCAGACAAUAAAGCUAAGUUCUCUUUCUCAGAUUUAAUGGCAGCUAGUUUUGAAUUGUGAAUAACUUCAUUGAGCUCCUUCACUUGCUGCAGAAGUUCUUCUUUCUGUUCCUUUUCAGCCUCCAAGGCGGCUUCCAACUGUUUUGCUUUUGUCAAAGAGUUCAGUUCUGAAUCUCUGGCAGCAACAAGUUCAGUUUCUUUGUUAAGAAGCUCCCUUUGUGUGGCCUUCAGUUCACUUAAAACAUGUGCAAACUGGUCCCGGACCUUCGCAGCCUCCAAACUUUGAUCUGCCAUCUCUUUCAUCUUGUAUUCAAGCUCAUCUUUGCGAGAUCUACAUUCUGAACAUUCGCUCAUGUUCUUGUUUCUUUCAAUGUCAGAUUUCUUCAAUAGGGUGGACAAUUCGUGAACCAUCUUUUGGUUUUGCUCCAGCUUAAGAAGUGUUUGCAUGUGUGCAGCAUGCUUUGCUUCUAACUGUACCUUGUUGUUGGCCAAUUCCUUUGUCAGCUCCUCAACUUUUUUUCCACAAUCACUCUGACCAACAAAUAAAGCAAAAUCAUGAAUUCAGAUGUCAUCUCUCAUGAUAUUAAUGGAUCGAAUCUACCCGAGUGAAUGGGACUAACAAUUAAACGUCACGGUGUAUAGAUAGUGUAUUUUGUAAAGGAAACUAAUUCUCCAAAAUCCUUUGAAAACUAUAUUUCUUACUUAUCUUACCUUACUCCUUGCAGGUUGAUAUUUCUUCUUAUCACCUUUAUCUCCAAAC